GGGCUCAUGGUCCAACGGGACGACACCGGCUCGGCAGGUCGGAGAUCUGGGUUCGAUUCCCAGUGGGUCCA
rnacentral:tRNA from 1 species